ensembl:lncRNA
GAGGGACAGAGGCUAGGGACAGGGGGAGAUAGGGGCUGUGGGAGGGAGGGAGAAGGGGAGAGAGGCUAGGGGACAGAGGGAGAUAGGGACAGAGGCUAGGGGACAGGGAGAUAGGGGCUGUGGGAGGGAGGGAGAUAGGGACAGAGGCUAGGGGACAGGGGAGAUAGGGGCUGUGGGAGGGAGGGAGAAGGGGAGAGAGGCUAGGGGACAGAGGGAGAUAGGGACAGAGGCUAGGGGACAGGGGGAGAUAGGGGCAGGGAGGGAGAAGGGGAGAGAGGCUAGGGGACAGAGGGAGAUAGGGACUGUGGGAGGGAGGGAGAAGGGGAGAGAGGCUAGGGGACAGAGGGACAGAGGCUAGGGGACAGGGGGAGAUAGGGGCUGUGGAGGGAGGGAGAAGGGGAGAGAGGCUAGGGACAGAGGGACAGAGGCUAGGGGACAGGGGAGAUAGGGGCUGGGAGGAGAAGGGAGAGAGGCUAGGGGACAGAGGGAGAUAGGGACAGAGGCUAGGGGACAGGGGGAGAUAGGGGCUGUGGGAGGGAGGGAGAAGGGGAGAGAGGCUGUUAUAGAAAAGGAAAGGGAGUACAGUGAGAAUCUACAGUAGCGUUUUCCAAACUCGGUCCUGGCCCCGCCCCCCCCUGGGUGCAUGUUUUGGUUCUUGCCCUAGCACUACACAGAUUACUCAAAUAAUCUUCAAGCAUGAUUAUUUGAAUCAGCUGUGCAGUGCCAAAAGGUGUCCCCCUUGGGGUCCCCUGGACCUAGUUUGGGAAACACUGCUCUACAACAACAGAAGUGUGGAGAAUGACAUCACCAAUGACAUUAUUUCAUUUAUUUUUUCGUAUUAAAAACCCUAAUUUAAAAAUAAAAAAAAAUCUAUACUUCCUGUUGUAGAUCGCAGAUUCCAUGAGAGGGGAUUGGCUAACUGGACAAACCAACCAAUGAGAGACGGCCUUGGAAGGAUAAAGUAAAAAAAAAAAAAAAAACAUGAUGAGGAUCGCCCAGUCACUUCAGCCAUUGGUGUCUCAGAAGUUUGGUCGCUUGUUAAAAUGUCCAGUCCCUCUUUGACCACAACCCCAAUUGAAAAACCCCACUGUACAAACAUCUUUGUAAACAACACAAGGGUUGCCUCCAAAAUUGCACCCUAAUUCCUUAUAUAGUGUACUACUUUUGACCAGGGCCCAUAGGGAAACCAAGAGGGAAACCAGUAGGGAAACCAGUAGGGAAACCAAUAGGGAUAGGAACCAAUAGGGAAACCAGUAGGGAAACCAAUAGAAAAACCAACAGGGAAACCAACAGGAAACCAAUAGGGAAACCAAUAGGGAAACCAAUAGGGAAACCAAUAGGAAACCAAUAGGGAAACCCACAGGGAAACCAUUGGGCUCUGGUCAAAUAUAAUACACUUGGGUGCCAUUUCAGACGCAAGAAAACCCAGGCAAGACAUAGAAAGAUGAUUGGAUCAUAGAUAGAUUCUCCAGAAAGAAAGAUGAUUGGAUCAUAGAUAGAUUCUCCAGAAAGAAAAAAAAAAAAACCCUAUUUGAAGGCAACAUCAUCAGGCUAAAAGACAAUAUGAUCAUUACUGAAAAAACAUGAUACUUUUUUUUCUCUUUUUACACAUAUAAUCAUCACUGUUGUAUCCACAGGUUUACUUCUCAAAUAAAACUCACAUAUAAUAAUAACUGGUUGUAGCCACAGGUUUACUCCUCAAAAUAAAACUCAUAUCAAUAGCUGUCGCAGUAUAGCAUCUCUCAGUAGAGACAAAACUAGUCAUUUAAAAAAAAGACAGAAGAAGACAGAGAAAUGAUGUUGAAUGAUCGAAGGAAAAUAAAAAAAGUUAGAAAAUAAACCCCAGGAGCAAGUUAUCUGUAUGAACUGAACUAUAUAGGGUGCCUCUUUGGGACUUUGUCUUUUUCUCUCUGGCUAAUAUAGAGGUGCUUAUAAAUACCGCAUCACCGUGGCAACGUGCACAUUCUGGUUAGACAUCCGUUUCUACGGCUACUGUCUCCGUUAGCAAUAACACUGUGUGUAGGAAUCGGGAUUUUAUUUUGGUUCAUAUUGACUGAUUUACCUAUUUCAUUUUACUUUAUUUUAUGAACGUAAUCUUUCCAUUUCAGUUGCAUACAGUUGGAAUAUCUAUAUUUCUAAGUAGAAAUCUUGUUCUCGUGACACUGGAGAGUGAUAAUGGUUAAUCUGUGUGUAAAAACUGAUGUAUUGUAGCUUUGAAUCCGUUGGUCGGUUUGUUUGUUGGUUGUUAAAGGGGCGUCACCACACAGGAAAGUCCAUUCCAUGUUAGGUUUUAGUAACGUCGGAAUGCUGGCACUGCUGAGAGAGACAGCAGCAAAUCAGACCUG